GGAUAACCUGCCCUUGGGUCCGGCAUAACCCCGGGAAACUGGGGAUAAUUCCGGAUAACGCAUAUAUGCUGGAAUGCUUUAUGCGUCAAAUGGAUUCGUCUGCCCAAGGAUGGGUCUGCGGCCUAUCAGGUAGUAGUGGGUGUAAUGUACCUACUAGCCGACGACGGGUACGGGUUGUGAGAGCAAGAGCCCGGAGAUGGAUUCUGAGACAUGAAUCCAGGCCCUACGGGGCGCAGCAGGCGCGAAAACUUUACAAUGCGGGAAACCGUGAUAAGGGGACACCGAGUGCCAGCAUCAUAUGCUGGCUGUCCAGGUGUGUAAAAUACACCUGUUAGCAAGGGCCGGGCAAGACCGGUGCCAGCCGCCGCGGUAACACCGGCGGCCCGAGUGGUGAUCGUGAUUAUUGGGUCUAAAGGGUCCGUAGCCGGUUUGGUCAGUCCUCCGGGAAAUCUGAUAGCUCAACUAUUAGGCUUUCGGGGGAUACUGCCAGACUUGGAACCGGGAGAGGUAAGAGGUACUACAGGGGUAGGAGUGAAAUCUUGUAAUCCCUGUGGGACCACCUGUGGCGAAGGCGUCUUACCAGAACGGGUUCGACGGUGAGGGACGAAAGCUGGGGGCACGAACCGGAUUAGAUACCCGGGUAGUCCCAGCCGUAAACGAUGCUCGCUAGGUGUCAGGCAUGGCGCGACCGUGUCUGGUGCCGCAGGGAAGCCGUGAAGCGAGCCACCUGGGAAGUACGGCCGCAAGGCUGAAACUUAAA
rnacentral:rRNA from 1 species